rnacentral:rRNA from 1 species
GAUGAACGCUGGUGGCGUGCCUAACACAUGCAAGUCGAACGGAGUCCAGCCUUUAAGACCUUCGGGUCAAAGAGGGGAAGACUGAGUGGCGGACGGGUGAGUAACACGUGGGCAACCUGGCUCAUAGAGGGGGAUAACAGAGAGAAAUUUCUGCUAAUACCGCAUAAGCACACACUGCCGCAUGGCAGAGGGUGAAAAGAGAAUCGCUAUGAGAUGGACCCGCGUCUGAUUAGCCAGUUGGCAGGGUAAGAGCCUACCAAAGCGACGAUCAGUAGCCGAUCUGAGAGGAUGAACGGCCACAUUGGGACUGAGACACGGCCCAAACUCCUACGGGAGGCAGCAGUGGGGGAUAUUGCACAAUGGGGGGAACCCUGAUGCAGCGACGCCGCGUGAGUGAAGAAGUAUUUCGGUAUGUAAAGCUCUAUCAGCAGGGAAGAUAAUGACAGUACCUGAAUAAGAAGCCCCGGCUAACUACGUG